rnacentral:rRNA from 1 species
AAUUUUUGACAAUGGGGGAAACCCUGAUCCAGCCAUCCCGCGUGUAUGAUGAAGGCCUUCGGGUUGUAAAGUACUUUUGGCAGAGAAGAAAAGGUACCUCCUAAUACGAGGUACUGCUGACGGUAUCUGCAGAAUAAGCACUGGCUAACUACGUGCCAGCAGCCGCGGUAAUAAGUAGGGUGCAAGAGUUAAUCGGAAUUACGGGGUGUAAAGCGUGUGUAGGCGGUUCGGAAAGAAAGAUGUGAAAGCCCAGGGCUAAAACUUGGAACUGCAUGUUUAACUGCCGAGCUAGAGUAUGUCAGAGGGGGGUAGAAUUCCACGUGUAGCAGUGAAAUGCGUAGAUAUGUGGAGGAAUACCGAUGGCGAAGGAAGCCCCCUGGGAUAAUACUGACGCUCAGACACGAAAGCGUGGGGAGCAAACAG